GAUGAACGCUGGCGGCGUGCCUAAUACAUGCAAGUCGAGCGAACGGACGAGAAGCUUGCUUCUCUGAUGUUAGCGGCGGACGGGUGAGUAACACGUGGAUAACCUACCUAUAAGACUGGGAUAACUUCGGGAAACCGGAGCUAAUACCGGAUAAUAUUUUGAACCGCAUGGUUCAAAAGUGAAAGACGGUCUUGCUGUCACUUAUAGAUGGAUCCGCGCUGCAUUAGCUAGUUGGUAAGGUAACGGCUUACCGAGGCAACGAUGCAUAGCCGACCUGAGAGGGUGAUCGGCCACACUGGAACUGAGACACGGUCCAGACUCCUACGGGAGGCAGCAGUAGGGAAUCUUCCGCAAUGGGCGAAAGCCUGACGGAGCAACGCCGCGUGAGUGAUGAAGGUCUUCGGAUCGUAAAACUCUGUUAUUAGGGAAGAACAUAUGUGUAAGUAACUGUGCACAUCUUGACGGUACCUAAUCAGAAAGCCACGGCUAACUACGUG
rnacentral:rRNA from 1 species